AGGGUGUGGCCCUAAAAAGACAAAAAAAGAAAAAAGGAAGAAAGAUGCUUGUUUUGAGAUGUCAUCAUAUAUAUCCCACAUACAGCAUCUAAUAGAGGGAAAAAUAUAAGCUGGCACAGUUGUCCAAGGAAAUUAAGAGAGACUCUCUUAGAAUAGAAUCAGCUGGGGCCUUUUCUGCCCGCUCCCUCUUCCAGCCCCGAGCUCCACUCUGGCUGCACCACGUUCACUCUGAGCUCCUGGCUCCUGCUAAGCUAGUGCCGCCGGCUGUCAUCCCCCUCCAGCUGCCAUCAUGAUCAUCUCCCGGGACCUCAUCAGCCAUGAAAUGUUCUCCGACAUCUGCAAGACCCGGGAGAUCGUGGAUGGGCUGUGUCUGGAGGUGGAGGGGAAGAUGGUCAGUAGGACAGAGGAUGACAUUGAUGACUCGCCCAUUGGUGGAAAUGCCUCCGCUGAAGGGCCCGAGGGUGAAGGUACCGAAAGCACAGCAAUCACUGGUGUCGAUAUUGUUAUGGACCAUCACCUGCAGGAAACCAGCUUCAUGAAGGAAGCCUACAAGAAGUACACCAAAGAUUACAUGAAGUCAAUCAAAGGGAAGCUUGAAGAACAGAGAGCAGAAAGAGUAAAACCUUUUAUGACAGGAGCUGCAGAACAAAUCAAGCACAUCCUUGCUAAUUUCAAAAACUGUCAGUUCUUCAUUGGUGAAAACAUGAAUCCAGACGGCAUGGUUGCUCUGCUGGACUGUCAUGAGGAUAGUGUGACUCUGUAUAUGAUUUCCUUUAAGGAUGGCUUAGAAAUGGAAAAAUAUUAACAAAUUUGGCUGUUACUUUGGACCUAUCACCUGUAGUCAUAACUGGCUGGCCGCUGCUUUUUAUCCAGAAAACAUCAGGACUUAGAGACAAAUGGGACCGAUGGCAUCCUG